rnacentral:rRNA from 1 species
UACGGUAGGGUGCAAGCGUUGUCCGGAAUUAUUGGGCGUAAAGGGCUCGUAGGCGGUUUGUCGCGUCGGGAGUGAAAACUCAGGGCUCAACCCUGAGCGUGCUUCCGAUACGGGCAGACUAGAGGUAUGCAGGGGAGAACGGAAUUCCUGGUGUAGCGGUGGAAUGCGCAGAUAUCAGGAGGAACACCGGUGGCGAAGGCGGUUCUCUGGGCAUGACCUGACGCUGAGGAGCGAAAGCAUGGGGAGCGAACAGG